CCUACGGGAGGCAGCAGUGAGGAAUAUUGGUCAAUGGACGAGAGGCUGAACCAGCCAAGUAGCGUGAAGGAUGACUGCGCUAUGGGUUGUAAACUUCUUUUAUAAAGGGAUAAAACGAGGCACGUGUGCCUUUUUGCAUGUACUUGAUGAAUAAGGAUCGGCUAACUCCGUGCCAGCAGCCGCGGUAAUACGGAGGAUCCGAGCGUUAUCCGGAUUUAUUGGGUUUAAAGGGUGCGGAGAUGGGUUGUUAAGUCAGGUGUGAAAUCUUGCGGCUCAACCGUCACAUUGCAAUUGAUACUGGCAGUCGUGAGUACAGUUGAGGUAAGCGGAAUUCGUGGUGUAGCGGUGAAAUGCUUAGAUAUCGCGCAGAACCCCGAUUGCGAAGGCAGCUUACUAAGCUGUGACUGACAUUGAUGCUCGAAAGUGUGGGUAUCAAACAGGAUUAGAUACCCCAGUAGUC
rnacentral:rRNA from 1 species